rnacentral:rRNA from 1 species
GACGAACGCUGGCGGCGUGCUUAACACAUGCAAGUCGAACGGAAAGGCCCCUUUGGGGGUACUCGAGUGGCGAACGGGUGAGUAACACGUGAGUAACCUGCCCUUGACUUCGGGAUAACUUCAGGAAACUGGGGCUAAUACCGGAUAGGAAUCCUUGCUGCAUGGUGGGGGUUGGAAAGCUUCGGCGGGUUUGGAUGGACUCGCGGCUUAUCAGGCUGUUGGUGGGGUAGUGGCUUACCAAGGCUUUGACGGGUAGCCGGCCUGAGAGGGCGACCGGCCACAAUGGGACUGAGGUACGGCCCAGACUCCUACGGGAGGCAACAGUGGGGAAUAUUGCACAAUGGGCGGAAGCCUGAUGCAGCAACGCCGCGUGCGGGAAGACGGGCUUCGGGUUGUAAACCGCUUUCAGCAGGGGCGAAGCUUGUGGUGACGGUACCUGCAGAAGAAGCACCGGCUAACUACGUG